UGUAAGCGUAUACCAAAGUUGUUGCAGUUAAAACGCUCGUAGUCGGAACUUGGCAGUUCCGGAUGUGUGCACGUCGUGUGCGCACUUCGCGGGGAUUGCUUUUGUGGUCUUGCGUAGGAUGAGGCACUUUUAUUAGUGAACGUCCUCACGCAACCACUUUUUACUGUGAGAAAAUCAGAGUGCUCAAAGCAGGCAUUUGCCGUGAAUGUAUUAGCAUGGAAUAAUAGAAUAGGACCUGGUUCUAUUUUGUUGGUUUGUUGGGACUGAGUAAUGAUUAAGAGGGACAGUUGGGGGCAUUUGUAUUUCGGUGCUAGAGGUGAAAUUCUUAGAUUACCGAAAGACAAACUGCUGCGAAAGCGUCUGCCAAGGAUGUUUUCAUUGA
rnacentral:rRNA from 1 species